AUCGAACGCUGGCGGCCGGCCUAACACAUGCAAGUCGGACGAGCGGCGGACGGGUGAGUAAUGUAUGGGGAUCUGCCUGAUGUAGGGGGAUAACUACUGGAAACGGUAGCUAAUACCGCAAACCAUCAGAUGAACCCAUAGGGGAUUAGCUUGUAGGUGAGGUAACGGCUCACCUAGGCGACGACCCCUAGCUAGUCUGAGAGGAUGAUCAGCCACACUGGGACGGAGACACGGCCCAGACUCCUACGGGAGGCAGCAGUGGGGAAUAUUGCACAAUGGGCGCAAGCCUGAUGCAGCCAGGCCGCGUGUAUGAAGAAGGCCUUCGGGUUGUAAAGUACUGUCAGUCGGGAGGCGGUACCUACAGAAGAAGCACCGGCUAACUCCGUGCCAGCAGCCGCGGUAAUUC
rnacentral:rRNA from 1 species